GACAGAGGGUGCAAACGUUGUUCGGAAUUACUGGGCGUAAAGCGCGUGUAGGCUGCUUUGCAAGUCGGAUGUGAAAGCCCCGGGCUCAACCUGGGAAGUGCACUCGAAACUGCAGAGCUCGAGUCCUGGAGAGGAAGGCGGAAUUCUCGGUGUAGAGGUGAAAUUCGUAGAUAUCGAGAGGAACACCGGUGGCGAAGGCGGCCUUCUGGACAGUGACUGACGCUGAGACGCGAAAGCGUGGGGAGCAAACAGG
rnacentral:rRNA from 1 species